rnacentral:tRNA from 1 species
UCCAGGGUAGCCUAGUGGACCUGGUAUCUGCCCGGUAAGCGGAACACUGUGGGUUCGUUUCCCAUCCCUGGAC